GACAACAAUCUCACAGUAUCAAAGCAAGGUGGAAGAAUACUACAGUACACGAUUAGACAGGCGACCAUCUUACGUGACAUGAGGUCCUCUUGCCAGGCGGAUCAGAUAGAAGGUGGCCCCUGUGAUGCCCAGACUCAGGAAGAAAAAUUGGGGAAUUAACUGAGGACAGAGGAGGAAGGCAUUAGUCCCAGACCACAGAGAGACAUAUGAAGAGAAGUCUUGGCCAAGAAUUACAAAGCAGAAGAGUGGAGAUUACAACAUCUGCAGGGAAUUAUCCAUCUGUCCAGCAGGAUGGCUCUGAACUCCUCAUCCUCACACAGAUCUUCAAAUGAGAAGGAUGAAGGACAGGAAAUGUCAGCUCCUUUCAAAUAAAAGUGUUUGUUGUGCUUUGCUACUCUCUUACAGAUAUUAACAAAACCAGAUUUAUAAAAGGAAUUUGUUUAGAAACUUAUUUUCCUUAGUGGUGCUAAUACGGUAGUUUCUUACACUGACUGUUAACAUAUACUGAAGUUGUAAAACUAUGAUUUACCAACCACCAAGACAAAAGCUGACUAGUGCUGAAAACAGCACAAAAAAGGUUUAGAUUUGCAUUAACAAGAACAACAGAAUAAACUCAUGUUAACACUGUAAAUGCGACCCUGCUGAGGUAAGAGAUUUGUUUUUUUGGUGUAAAUAUACCGAUGGGGGUCUCAUCUAGGAAGGUCUUGGCAUUGAGACUGGCUCCAUGAGACACCAACAGCUCUGCCACAUGCAUCUGAAACAGCAGCAGAAAAUUCCGUUAAUGGUUUCAGAAACCUUUGUAUAUGCGCUUAUCGGUUUCCUGUUAUGUUUACCUUACCUGACCCCAACACGCUGCAGCAUGAAGAGGCUGCCAUCCAUCUGAGUCUCUCAGGUCCAUGCGAGCACCCCCCUCCAGCAGCAGCUCUGCAGCCUGCACGUAGCCACUUGCUGCUGUGAUGUGGAGCUGCAAGGGCAGAGGAGGAACAAUGAUUCGAUUUGUUCCAGUGGCACAGGAUUUGCUUUAGAUAUGCUCUGUGCAUAAAAUCCAGCGUGGAUUUCACACUAAAGACACAAUAUAGAUGCCAAAUAUUAAAGUAAUACUAACUCAAAAAUGCUGACCAUAUAGGACAUCGCACUACACCUGCAAAAAUCUACAUCAGAUAUUCACUUGGGUCCAAAUUUGGGGAUGAGAGUGCAUCACUGGGCACCUUCAAUCACUAAUGUUUUGUCAGAUUAAGUACACAACAUUGUAAAAAGGCUCUGCCAUCAUUUUAGGCUGAUGGGGUGCUGGGUCCAGCUGAAAAAGCUCUUCUGCAGUUUGUGAGAUAGAGAUACAAACUGAUCCUGCUGGCCUGAGAUGACCCAGGUCAGACUUGAAUGAGGAAACAAUUAUACCAGGAGCGGAGGAAUGGGAAGAUUAAUAUAUCUAUUCUAUCAGGAUAUCAACUCUAGUCUUAGUCAGUACACAUUUAAGUUGUGCAUACCCACAGUCAUUUACUUUAAAGUGGUGAUACCAAAGUUUCCAAAAGAUAACAAAUACAUAGGGGUGAAUUACAAAUUAUAAAUAGAAAGAUGCCAAUCACAAGUUUCCAGAGCCAUAGGUGACAUCUUGACUAGCAGUCCAAAACCCAAAGAUAUUUAAUUUACUCUCAUAGAGGACAGAGAAACUCAUUAAAUAUUCACAUAUGAGAGGCUGGGACCAGUAUUGUUUUGGCAUUUUUGCCUGAAAAAGAUUAAUUAAUUGAAACUGCUGCCGAUACAUUUUUAUUUUAGUGACUAAGUGAUUGAACAACUAAUUGUUUCAGCUCUACAUCAUAUGUUUGAUGAGGAGCUGCAGGAGCUGAUAUGAAAUAUGUAUGUGACCAUAUCAAAGAGUGUGGUAUAAGAUGAUUUGAGAGGAAACAAAAAGGGAAAACUGUACAAGGUCAACUUUAAAAAUGAAUUUCUUGAAUGCGAGGAUUCCUUUUAGGUAUUUAGACAUGUUUAGGUAUGUUCAGGCUUUAAUCAUAAGAUUAACAAUUUGUGUGUUUUUUGGGUGGUUUUCGAUUUUGCAAAUACCUGUGAAUCUGUCUGAGAAAUGUACACAAAUAUAGUAUGAAUCUAGCUUAAUUUGGUUGCUAUGGGGAACUAAAAUUCUAUAUAAAUAUCUGUCUCCCAAAUGUGUGUUGCCUUGUUUAAAAGGAUAGUGAAUGCGGUGUGAAAAAAUGUUGCUUAUCUUUUUUUAUAAAAUAAUCUUGCUUACAUUAGAUAUUUACACAUACAGUAUUUAGCAUUACAAAAAUGGGUUUUGUUAGGGCGUCCGCGAACGUUAGUUGAUGUUACUUUAUCUGUGUUGCCAGAUCUAGAGAGUGGGUCACACCAAUAUACUGUAGGUUGUACUUCCUCUCUCCCUUUGAGUGAUGUACCUUUUGUUUGCAUCGGUUAAAUUAAACUGAGAUAUCUGUGUGAAUUAAAUGAAUCGUCUCUCGUUUGAUCAACCCAUUUGCAACCACAAGUGAUGAAAAUCAUUGUUCCUGGCAGCCAAUCAAAACAAGGAUACAAAAAUCUUCUUCUCUUCUCUGCCAGAGAUUUUAAUAAGGCAUGCUCUAGUUUGCUUCAUCAUGCUCGAAUGAAGAUUAACAGGACGCACAAAAGCAAGGGGACAAGCUGCUCAAUCAGACAAUCUGUGGUUAGACUUUAAAGCUUAACAGGGUUAUUUUGGACUACUACUAUGUAAUGUCCCCUGGCCAUUUUCAUCCAGUGAUCUGUCACGUUGUUUCCCCAGCGUAGAUAAAUCCCUCAUAUAUAAUAAAGACUUCAUUAAGGCAUGGGACAUUAUAUGACCCACUCAGGAAAUUAUAUGCCAACGAUAUUUUUGUGCCUUACUUGACUUUUUCAUGCAUCAGUGCACCGAACUUCCAAAACAAACUCAGUGACCACUUUAGUAGGUACACCUCACCAAUAAAACUAAAACAAAUGAAUUCUCCACACAGGAGCAUGUGGCUGUGACUCACUAUUUAAAACAAAAGAAAGUGUCUUUAUAUCAUUCCCAUGCAUGCUUGGGUCCUCUCUAAUGCAUUUGACAUAACAUGCAAGAAUGAAAGCAGAUUUAUACCACAAUGACGUGAUGGCUGCUUUAAAAAUUUUUAUUACCUUACCAAUGCAAACCUACAGCAGCUAUGUGUAUCGUUAAUUUAUUUUGGCUAAAUGUACCACUUCACCUCAGCCGGGCUUUUGUUAUUGCUCCUGAUAACACAGACAUCUUCUUUUUUUGAUUAUUUGUUUAUUUUUGCCAUAUUUAUUAAUUAAUGUA